GCCGCGAUAGCUCAGUUGGUAGAGCGCAUCCAUGGUAAGGAUGAGGUCCCGGGUUCAAAUCCCGGUCGCGGCUCCA
rnacentral:tRNA from 2 species